rnacentral:rRNA from 1 species
GAUGAACGCUGGCGGCGUGCCUAAUACAUGCGAGUCGAGCGAACAGAUGAGGAGCUUGCUCCUCUGACGUUAGCGGCGGACGGGUGAGUAACACGUGGAUAACCUACCUAUAAGACUGGGAUAACUUCGGGAAACCGGAGCUAAUACCGGAUAAUAUAUUGAACCGCAUGGUUCAAUAGUGAAAGACGGUUUUGCUGUCACUUAUAGAUGGAUCCGCGCCGCAUUAGCUAGUUGGUAAGGUAACGGCUUACCAAGGCAACGAUGCGUAGCCGACCUGAGAGGGUGAUCGGCCACACUGGAACUGGGACACGGUCCAGACUCCUACGGGAGGCAGCAGUAGGGAAUCUUCCGCAAUGGGCGAAAGCCUGACGGAGCAACGCCGCGUGAGUGAUGAAGGUCUUCGGAUCGUAAAACUCUGUUAUUAGGGAAGAACAAAUGUGUAAGUAACUAUGCACGUCUUGACGGUACCUAAUCAGAAAGCCACGGCUAACUACGUG